GAACCGAACCGAACCAUAAACCGAUAAAAUCUCUUUUAUCGGUUCGGUUUAUUCUCUCCCGUCCCGUUAGUCCCGACUGUAGGGUUUAUUCUUUCUCGACUCUGGCCCUCUCCUCUCGUCUCGUGUCUCCUCUUGGUCGGCUUGGAGGUGCAACGGCGACGGCGGCAGGGACGGCGACGGCGGCAGGGACUGCAACGGCGACGGCAACCGAUUGAGGGACAGGAGCGAGUUCUUGGGAGGCACGCUUCACAUCAAGUGGAAUGGAAUGAAAUCGGGAAGUGAUGGGGAAAGCAAUGGACUGGAGUGAUGAUUCCAAGUCUUGGUUUUUGUUCAGUGAUUGUGGAGGACGGAAUGGAAAUCCUUGUGUUUGAGUGCGAUUCUGGAAGAUUUUGGGAGGUUUGAGCUUUUGGCGGUUUGGUAAUGUGGAGAGAUGGUCACUCUGUUCACAAGC